rnacentral:snRNA from 1 species
GGAUGUGAGGGCAAUCUGGCAGCAACAUCUGUCACCCCAUUGAUCACCUGGGUUGAUUCGGCUGAUCUGGCUGACUAGGCGGGUGUCCCCUCCCUCCCUCACCGCUCCAUGUGCAUCCCUCCUGAAGUUGCACCUCGGUUGAAGAGGAUGACCUUCCCCGAUAGGAGGACCAUCCUUUGGUCAAGGGUAUACAAGUAGCUGCGCUCCCCUGCUAGAAUCUCCAAACUAGUCUCAAAUCUGGUCUGAACCCUUGGCAGCUCCCUGUCAGUGUACUGCUGUAGUAAUUGUUGAAUGAUCUUUAGAAAAAUUUACUUUUGUGUAAUAUCAAUAAUGUUCUAUUUUUGAGU